UACGUAGGGAGCAAGCGUUGUCCGGAUUUACUGGGUGUAAAGGGUGCGUAGGCGGCCCUGCAAGUCAGAAGUGAAAUCCAUGGGCUUAACCCGUGAACUGCUUUUGAAACUGUAGGGCUUGAGUGAAGUAGAGGCAGGCGGAAUUCCCGGUGUAGCGGUGAAAUGCAUAGAUAUCACGCAGAACUCCGAUUGCGAAGGCAGCAUACCGGCGCUCAACUGACGCUCAUGCACGAAAGUGCGGGUAUCGAACAGG
rnacentral:rRNA from 1 species